rnacentral:tRNA from 1 species
GGAGAGAUAGCUCAGUCAGUAAAGUACUUGCCUGGCAAGCAAGAGUAUUUGAGUUCAUUCCU